rnacentral:rRNA from 1 species
AACGAACGCUGGCGGCAUGCCUAACACAUGCAAGUCGAACGAGACCUUCGGGUCUAGUGGCGCACGGGUGCGUAACGCGUGGGAACCUGCCCUUAGGUUCGGAAUACCUCCCCGAAAGGGGUGCUAAUACCGGAUAAUGUCUUCGGACCAAAGAUUUAUCGCCUUUGGAUGGGCCCGCGUUGGAUUAGCUAGUUGGUAGGGUAAAAGCCUACCAAGGCGACGAUCCAUAGCUGGUCGGAGAGGAUGAUCAGCCACACUGGGACUGAGACACGGCCCAGACUCCUACGGGAGGCAGCAGUGGGGAAUAUUGGACAAUGGGCGAAAGCCUGAUCAAGCAAUGCCGCGGGAGUGAUGAAGGCCUUAGGGUUGUAAAGCUCUUUUACCCGGGAUGAUAAUGACAGUACCGGGAGAAUAAGCUCCGGCUAACUCCGUG